rnacentral:rRNA from 1 species
UACGAAGGGGGCUAGCGUUGCUCGGAAUCACUGGGCGUAAAGGGUGCGUAGGCGGGUCUUUAAGUCAGAGGUGAAAUCCUGGAGCUCAACUCCAGAACUGCCUUCGAUACUGGCGAUCUUGAGUCCGGAAGAGGUGAGUGGAACUCCUAGUGUAGAGGUGGAAUUCGUAGAUAUUAGGAAGAACACCAGUGGCGAAGGCGGCUCACUGGUCCGGUACUGACGCUGGAGGUGCGAAAGCGUGGGGAGCAAACAGG